GUUAUUGUGGUAGGCGACACGGGGCGCUGCGGAAGAUCACGGGAUGUGACGUCCUGACGAGGCAGGGCUAAGACAGGAAAAGACAGUGCGAGCGCGUAUAUAAAGAAUUGUAACGACGCAAUAAACGCCAUUUGCCGCAUCCUCCCUAGGGAGUCAGUGUGGUGUGGCCCAGGGGCGGGCGGGGUUGCGGGCUCCUGACCUCACCCUAACUCUGGGUAUUGUUGCGACGGCAACAAAGUGGUGACCCCGACGUGAUUGGGUGAGGGUAGUCGCCGGGGCGACGGGGGUGGCGCCAGACAGACGAUGGAAGCGGUGAUUAAGGUUCCGUAAGGAGGAAAUACGUUCUUGUGACCGGCUGAUAUCAUGAGAGCAGCGUCGCGGGAAAGAGAAUGAUGCCGAGUUCACAAGGAUUGGGAGUUGCUAUGCACGCUUAGCUUUGCUUUAGGGCUUUCACACUGGCUUGAGAAUUACAAGGCUGCAGCCCGCUUACAGCACUGGCAUCCCUGGCUUUGCCGCAUGUGUACGCAGCUUGCGGCGUACAAUUAAUGAGUUACGGCGUCCUCACUCUGGGUAUCAACGUCUCCUGAUGAUUCAAGAAACAACGACUGUAUUGUAGCAUGGAGAGGGGGACUUGUGGUAGGCGACACGGGGCGCUGCGGAAGAUCACGGGAUGUGACGUCCUGACGAGGCAGGGCUAAGACAGGAAAAGACAGUGCGAGCGCGUAUAUAAAGAAUUGUAACGACGCAAUAAACGCCAUUUGCCGCAUCCUC